rnacentral:rRNA from 1 species
GUUCCUGGCUCAGGAUGAACGCUAGCUACAGGCUUAACACAUGCAAGUCGAGGGGCAGCAUGAACUUAGCUUGCUAAGUUUGAUGGCGACCGGCGCACGGGUGAGUAACACGUAUCCAACCUGCCGAUGACUCGGGGAUAGCCUUUCGAAAGAAAGAUUAAUACCCGAUGGCAUAGUUCUUCCGCAUGGUAGAACUAUUAAAGAAUUUCGGUCAUCGAUGGGGAUGCGUUCUAUUAGGUUGUUGGG